UACGUAGGGGGCGAGCGUUGUCCGGAGUUACUGGGCGUAAAGCGCACGCAGGCGGUCGUGUAAGUUUGGGGUUACAGCUCCCGGCUCAACUGGGAGAGCGCCUUGAAGACUGCAGGACUUGAGGGCCAGAGAGGGACACAGAAUUCCGGGUGUAGUGGUGAAAUGCGUAGAUAUCCGGAGGAAUACCAAAGGCGAAGGCAGUGGCCUGGCGGGUGACUGACGCUGAGGUGCGAAAGCUAGGGGAGCGAACGGG
rnacentral:rRNA from 1 species